rnacentral:rRNA from 1 species
UGGGGAAUAUUGCACAAUGGGCGAAAGCCUGAUGCAGCAACGCCGCGUGAGUGAUGAAGGUCUUCGGAUUGUAAAGCUCUGUCUUUUGGGACGAUAAUGACGGUACCAAAGGAGGAAGCCACGGCUAACUACGUGCCAGCAGCCGCGGUAAUACGUAGGUGGCGAGCGUUGUCCGGAUUUACUGGGCGUAAAGGGUGCGUAGGCGGAUGUUUAAGUGAGAUGUGAAAUACCCGGGCUUAACUUGGGUGCUGCAUUUCAAACUGGAUAUCUAGAGUGCAGGAGAGGAGAAUGGAAUUCCUAGUGUAGCGGUGAAAUGCGUAGAGAUUAGGAAGAACACCAGUGGCGAAGGCGAUUCUCUGGACUGUAACUGACGCUGAGGCACGAAAGCGUGGGUAGCAAACAGGAUUAGAUACCCUGGUAGUCCGCGCCGUAAACGAUGAGUACUAGGUGUAGGAGGUAUCGACCCCUUCUGUGCCGCAGUAAACACAUUAAGUACUCCGCCUGGGAAGUACGAUCGCAAGAUUAAAACUCU